GCCGUGGUGGCGGAAUCGGUAUACGCGUGAGUCUCAAAAACUCAUGGUCGCAAGGCCUUGUGGGUUCGAGUCCCACCCACGGCA
rnacentral:tRNA from 1 species